rnacentral:rRNA from 1 species
CAGUGGGGAAUAUUGGACAAUGGGCGCAAGCCUGAUCCAGCAAUGCCGCGUGUGUGAAGAAGGCCUUCGGGUUGUAAAGCACUUUUAUCAGGAGCGAAAUACCAUCGGCUAAUACCCGGUGGGGCUGACGGUACCUGAGGAAUAAGCACCGGCUAACUUCGUGCCAGCAGCCGCGGUAAUACGAAGGGUGCAAGCGUUAAUCGGAAUUACUGGGCGUAAAGCGUGCGUAGGCGGUUUUUUAAGUCUGCUGUGAAAUCCCCGGGCUCAACCUGGGAAUGGCAGUGGAUACUGGAAAGCUAGAGUGUGAUAGAGGAUGGUGGAAUUCCCGGUGUAGCGGUGAAAUGCGUAGAGAUCGGGAGGAACAUCAGUGGCGAAGGCGGCCAUCUGGAUCAACACUGACGCUGAGGCACGAAAGCGUGGGGAGCAAACAGGAUUAGAUACCCUGGUAGUCCACGCCCUAAACGAUGCGAACUGGAUGUUGGUCUCAACUCGGAGAUCAGUGUCGAAGCUAACGCG